UACGAAGGGGGCUAGCGUUGUUCGGAAUUACUGGGCGUAAAGCGCACGCAGGCGGUUCGAUUAGUCAGAAGUGAAAGCCCCGGGCUCAACCUGGGAAUUGCUUUUGAUACUGUCGAGCUUGAAUCACGGAGAGGGUAGUGGAAUUCCGAGUGUAGAGGUGAAAUUCGUAGAUAUUCGGAAGAACACCAGUGGCGAAGGCGACUACCUGGCCGUCGAUUGACGCUCAUGUGCGAAAGCGUGGGGAGCAAAC
rnacentral:rRNA from 1 species